UGAGGAAUAUUGGUCAAUGGACGAGAGUCUGAACCAGCCAAGUAGCGUGCAGGAUGACGGCCCUAUGGGUUGUAAACUGCUUUUAUAUGGGGAUAAAGUGGGGAACGUGUUCCCUUUUGCAGGUACCAUAUGAAUAAGGACCGGCUAAUUCCGUGCCAGCAGCCGCGGUAAUACGGAAGGUUCGGGCGUUAUCCGGAUUUAUUGGGUUUAAAGGGAGCGUAGGCCGUUUGGUAAGCGUGUUGUGAAAUGUAGGAGCUCAACUUCUAGAUUGCAGCGCGAAAUGUCAGACUUGAGUGCGCACAACGUAGGCGGAAUUCAUGGUGUAGCGAUGAAAUGCUUAGAUAUCAUGAAGAACUCCGAUUGCGAAGGCAGCUUACGGGAGCGCAACUGACGCUGAAGCUCGAAGGUGCGGGUAUCGAACAGG
rnacentral:rRNA from 1 species